UGGGGAAUUUUGGACAAUGGGGGCAACCCUGAUCCAGCCAUCCCGCGUGUGCGAUGAAGGCCUUCGGGUUGUAAAGCACUUUUGGCAGGGAAGAAACAGCCUGGGAUAAUACCCCGGGCGACUGACGGUACCUGCAGAAUAAGCACCGGCUAACUACGUGCCAGCAGCCGCGGUAAUACGUAGGGUGCAAGCGUUAAUCGGAAUUACUGGGCGUAAAGCGUGCGCAGGCGGUUCGGAAAGAAAGGUGUGAAAUCCCAGGGCUUAACCUUGGAACUGCACUUUUAACUACCGAGCUAGAGUACGUCAGAGGGGGGUAGAAUUCCACGUGUAGCAGUGAAAUGCGUAGAGAUGUGGAGGAAUACCGAUGGCGAAGGCAGCCCCCUGGGAUGAUACUGACGCUCAUGCACGAAAGCGUGGGGAGCAAACAGGAUUAGAUACCCUGGUAGUCCACGCCCUAAACGAUGUCAACUAGCUGUUGGGGUUUAUUAACCUUAGUAGCGCAGCUAACGCGUGAAGUUGACCGCCUGGGGGAGUACGGUCGCAAGAUUAAAACGUUAAAGUGAAUUGACGGGGGUCAUAGCUGUUUUCCUG
rnacentral:rRNA from 1 species